rnacentral:misc_RNA from 1 species
CCCAACUAUCCCUAUUAAUCAUUACGGUGAUCCUAGAAACCAACAAAAUAGAACCAAACCGUCCUAUUUUAUUAUUCCAUGCUAAUGUAUUCAGACGGACGCCUGCUUUAAACACUCUAAUUUUUUCAAAGUAACAGUCCUGAUUUCCCCCACACCAACUGAAUGACAUGGAGAUUCCUCAGAAGGUAGGAACUCGUCACACCAGUGCAGACAGUUAAGCCUGACCAAUGGGCAAAUCCCGAAGUUCAACUACGAGCUUUUUAACUGCAACAACUUUAAUAUACGCUAUUGGAGCUGGAAUUACCGUGGCUGCUGGCACCAGACUUGCCCUCCAA